rnacentral:lncRNA from 1 species
CCAAACCUGACACACACAGACAACUUCAGCUUUAUAUAUAUAUAUGUAUUGGGUUGUCUGGAAAGUUUGUGCCGAGUUAUAGUAGAUUACCUUUCGACUUAUUUUAGAACAUGGUUGAGUCCAUAAAAUAGGAAAUAUGGAUACGCAUUGUGCAAGAAAAUGGUUCAUAUUUGGUUGAUUAAAAAUGUAAUGGCAAGUAUUUAUUGACCUUUUUCUUUCCUUUAAAAAUGAACUUUCCGGACAACCCAAUAUUUAAAUUUUCAUAGAACCUCUCAUCUUCCUUCUGGGACCUUAAAAAAAAAGAAAAAGAAAGCAAAAUUGAUUUCAGUGAUGGCUGCACCCCAUCCUAGAACCGACAUCUUGGAGAGGUCUCCAUCCUUGAACUCAUGUAAGUACAAUGGUAAAGUGACUAAACAAAUAAAUAUAUGGUGAAUACAUGUCAAAUUGAAGGAGAGGUCUCUCUCUCCCUACCUACCUAUCUGUCUGUCUGCCUACCUGUCGGUCAAUCUAUCUUUCUAUUUAUUUAUAUGUAUCCGAACAUGGCCGCCUCGACUGGCUUCUGUGCCGAUAGCACAUAAAAAGUACCAUCCGAACGUGACCGAUGCCAGCUGGCUUUCGUACCAGUGGUACUUAAAAAGCACCAUUGAUCGUGGCCAUUUGCCAGCCUCGUCUGGCACGUAAAAAGCACCCACUACACUCAGGGCAUCCAGCUGUAGAAACACUGCCAGAUCAGACUGGGCCUGGUGCAGCCUUCUGGCUUCCCAGAUCCCUGGUCGAACCAUCCAACCCAUGCUAGCAUGGAAAGCGGACGUUAAUUGAUGAUGAUGAUGUAUUAAAAGAAAAACAGGACGCAAAGGAUUUUGCGGUACAUAUGUUUCGGGCUUUAUUGAACAACUUAUUCUUAUAUCAAUGCAUAAUUGAUAUAACAUAUAGAUCAAAAGCCUUCUUCAGCCGCGUACAAUUACCACACCAAAGACAUGUAUCACAUUAUAACAGGUUUGAGAAAAAACUGAGUUUCAUUGGGAAAGUAAAUCCUCAUAGGCAUACAUGGUAUUAUUAGACUCCAAAACAAAUCGUCCAUACCUUUUCUUCACUUGAUAAAGAAUGAAUACUGGGUAGAUUACUUCAUAUAAGGGAAGGAAUUGGAUCUUCAUUGUUCUGGAACCUCACCCCCCUAAAAAACCAAAAACAAUGAUGUCCUCUUCUAAACAAAAAAAAACAUUUGUUUUAUAUAAAUGAACAACCUGUUUGCACUUUCGCAAAAUUUUGACUAGUCCAAAGAAUGAACAAAAUCACCAAUAAUAAUGAAUAAAUAAAAGAACUUUUCCAAAAUUCUGGCGGCUUCAGUGUUGAUGUUGAAAUAUUUGCAAUGUUGAAUUACACUGUUGUUUGACUUCCCUCUUUAUCUCAAUGCUUCUUUUUCUAUUUCAGAAUAUCACAUCCUGUUGACGUAAAAGAAACUUCUUCAUUCAGAUGUGCCUCUGAUAUUUCUAUUGGCUUUCAUCAAUUAAAGGAAGACCAUAUAUUCAUAAGGCACAUUCAUCAACGCAUCAACUUCUUUGUAUGAACAAAAUCUUCAACAAACGAUGGGAAAAUAUUUCUUCUGGACUAUGUAAUUAACAACAAUAUUUUUGUUGUCUUCAUUAUCUGGAAUGUAGAGGAGAUAAUCAAUUUACAGAUUAAAUUUGCUUCGUUAACUUUACAAAAGAG